AAGUCGUAACAAGGUUUCCGUAGGUGAACCUGAACACGUAUCCCCGGUAACGCGAAACAAUGGUUGCAAUCCCGGGUAAAUCAUCGCCAACAGUUUUGAUUCAGGGACUUCAAGCACGUUACUGUCCUGAUAAAAGAGGAGUCCCCAGCGCAAGCUUUUCUUGACCUGGUGGGUGGGUUCGACUAUCCCAAGGUAUGGCGUGCUUUCAAUGUUGCAAAAAUAAACAUAAUCAGGGGGUUGUGAAAGUGUUCAACCUGCUUAUGUUUAUCUUUGUAAAGUAGAAAGGUCACAAGAUGCUGUAAGAUAGACCGCUUUAAUCAGCGGGUCACCAGGAGGCCGACAC
rnacentral:misc_RNA from 1 species